AACCGAGAACUCCUACGGGAGGCAGCAGUGGGGAAUUUUGGACAAUGGGCGCAAGCCUGAUCCAGCCAUGCCGCGUGUCUGAAGAAGGCCUUCGGGUUGUAAAGGACUUUUGUCAGGGAAGAAAAGGACAGGGUUAAUACCCCUGUCUGAUGACGGUACCUGAAGAGGAAGCACCGGCUAACUACGUGCCAGCAGCCGCGGUAAUACGUAGGGUGCGAGCGUUAAUCGGAAUUACUGGGCGUAAAGCGAGCGCAGACGGUUACUUAAGCAUGAUGUGAAAUCCCCGGGCUCAACCUGGGAACUGCGUUCUGAACUGGGUGACUAGAGUGUGUCAGAGGGAGGUAGAAUUCCACGUGUAGCAGUGAAAUGCGUAGAGAUGUGGAGGAAUAGCGAGGGCGAAGGCAGCCUCCUGGGAUAACACUGACGUUCAUGCUCGAAAGCGUGGGUAGCAAACAGGAUUAGAAACCCUGGUAGUCCGACUGAGA
rnacentral:rRNA from 1 species